AGCAGUGUGGUGUAGUGGUAAGAAUCAGGGCUUGUAACCAAAAGGUUGCUGGUUCGAUUCCAACCUAGAGCGCUGCUG